rnacentral:rRNA from 1 species
GACGAACGCUGGCGGCGUGCCUAAUACAUGCAAGUAGAACGCUGUCUUCGGAGCUUGCUUCUCUGGAUGAGUUGCCAACGGGUGAGUAACGCUUUGGUAACCUGUCUGUUAGCGGGAGAUAACUAUAUGCAACGAUAGCUAAUACGGCAUAAGAUUAGAUGUUGCAUGACAUUUGCUUAAAAGGUGCAAUUGCUUCACUACUACAUGGACCUGCGUUGUAUUAGCUAGUUGUUGAGUUAACGGCUCACCAAGGCAACGAUACAUAGCCGACCUGAGAGGGUGAUCGGCAACACUGGGACUGAGACACGGCCCAGACUCCUACGGGAGGCAGCAGUAGGGAAUCUUCGGCAAUGGACGGAGGUCUGACCGAGCAACGCCGCGUGAGUGAAGAAGGGUGUCGGAUCGUAAAGCUCUGUUGUAAGAGAAGAACGAGUGUGAGAGUGGAAAGUUCACAAUGUGACGGUAUCUUACCAGAAAGGGACGGCUAACUACGUG